GAUGAACGCUGGCGGCGUGCCUAAUACAUGCAAGUCGAGCGAACAGACGAGGAGCUUGCUCCUCUGACGUUAGCGGCGGACGGGUGAGUAACACGUGGAUAACCUACCUAUAAGACUGGGAUAACUUCGGGAAACCGGAGCUAAUACCGGAUAAUAUAUUGAACCGCAUGGUUCAAUAGUGAAAGACGGUUUUGCUGUCACUUAUAGAUGGAUCCGCGCCGCAUUAGCUAGUUGGUAAGGUAACAGCUUACCAAGGCAACGAUGCGUAGCCGACCUGAGAGGGUGAUCGGCCACAAUGGAACUGAGACACGGUCCAGACUCCUACGGGAGGCAGCAGUAGGGAAUCUUCCGCAAUGGGCGAAAGCCUGAAGGAGCAACGCCGCGUGAGUGAUGAAGGUCCUCGGAUCGUAAAACUCUGUUAUUAGGGAAGAACAAAUGUGUAAGUAACUAUGCACGUCUUGACGGUACCUAAUCAGAAAGCCACGGCUAACUACGUG
rnacentral:rRNA from 1 species